rnacentral:rRNA from 1 species
UACGUAGGGUGCAAGCGUUAAUCGGAAUUACUGGGCGUAAAGCGUGCGCAGGCGGCUCUGCAAGACAGAUGUGAAAUCCCCGGGCUCAACCUGGGAACUGCAUUUGUGACUGCAGGGCUAGAGUACGGUAGAGGGGGAUGGAAUUCCGCGUGUAGCAGUGAAAUGCGUAGAUAUGCGGAGGAACACCGAUGGCGAAGGCAAUCCCCUGGACCUGUACUGACGCUCAUGCACGAAAGCGUGGGGAGCGAACAGG